rnacentral:rRNA from 1 species
GACGAACGCUGGUGGCGUGCUUAACACAUGCAAGUCGAACGGGAUUUAGUAAACAGAAGCCUCGGUGGAAGAUUACUACUGAGAGUGGCGAACGGGUGAGUAACGCGUGAGCAACCUGCCUAUGACAGUGGGAUAGCCUCGGGAAACCGGGAUUAAUACCGCAUAAAAUCGUAGAAACACAUGUUUUAACGGUCAAAGAUUUAUCGGUCAUAGAUGGGCUCGCGUCUGAUUAGCUAGUUGGUGAGAUAACAGCCCACCAAGGCGACGAUCAGUAGCCGGUCUGAGAGGAUGAACGGCCACAUUGGAACUGAGACACGGUCCAAACUCCUACGGGAGGCAGCAGUGGGGAAUAUUGCACAAUGGGGGAAACCCUGAUGCAGCGACGCCGCGUGAACGAAGAAGGUAUUCGUAUCGUAAAGUUCUGUCCUAUGGGAAGAUAAUGACAGUACCAUAGAAGAAAGCUCCGGCUAAAUACGUG